AACACUUUUUCGACUCACC
rnacentral:snRNA from 1 species